GGCCCCGUAGCUCAGCUGGAUAGAGCGCGCCCCUCCUAAGGGCGAGGUCACACGUUCGAAUCGUGUCGGGGUCGCCA
rnacentral:tRNA from 1 species